rnacentral:rRNA from 1 species
AACGAACGCUGGCGGCAGGCUUAACACAUGCAAGUCGAACGCCCCGCAAGGGGAGUGGCAGACGGGUGAGUAACGCGUGGGAAUCUACCCAACCCUACGGAACAACUCCGGGAAACUGGAGCUAAUACCGUAUACGCCCUACGGGGGAAAGAUUUAUCGGGGAUGGAUGAGCCCGCGUUGGAUUAGCUAGUUGGUGGGGUAAAGGCCUACCAAGGCGACGAUCCAUAGCUGGUCUGAGAGGAUGAUCAGCCACAUUGGGACUGAGACACGGCCCAAACUCCUACGGGGGGCAGCAGUGGGGAAUAUUGGACAAUGGGCGCAAGCCUGAUCCAGCCAUGCCGCGUGAGUGAUGAAGGUCUUAGGAUUGUAAAGCUCUUUCACCGGUGAAGAUAAUGACGGUAACCGGAGAAGAAGCCCCGGCUAACUUCGUGCCAGCAGCCGCCGUAAAAC